rnacentral:rRNA from 1 species
GAUGAACGCUAGCGACAGGCUUAACACAUGCAAGUCGAGGGGCAGCAUAAAAGUAGCAAUACUUUGGUGGCGACCGGCGCACGGGUGAGUAACGCGUAUGCAACCUACCUAUCAGAGGGGAAUAACCCGGCGAAAGUCGGACUAAUACCGCAUAAAACAGGGGCACCGCAUGGUGAUACUUGUUAAAGAAAUUCGCUGAUAGAUGGGCAUGCGUUCCAUUAGGUAGUUGGUGAGGUAACGGCUCACCAAGCCGACGAUGGAUAGGGGAACUGAGAGGUUGGUCCCCCACACUGGUACUGAGACACGGACCAGACUCCUACGGGAGGCAGCAGUGAGGAAUAUUGGUUAAUGGGCGAGAGCCUGAACCAGCCAAGUCGCGUGAAGGAAGAAGGAUCUAUGGUUCGUAAACUUCUUUUGCAGGGGAAUAAAGUGCAGGACGUGUCCUGUUUUGUAUGUACCCUGAGAAUAAGGAUCGGCUAACUCCGUGCCAGCAGCCGCCGUAAUAC